rnacentral:tRNA from 1 species
UGGGGUGUCGUCUAACGGUAGGACAGCGGAUUCUGGUUCCGUAUGUGUGGGUUCGAUUCCUUCCACCCCAG